rnacentral:rRNA from 1 species
AUAUAAAUUAAGAUAAGUCGUAACAAAGUAAAUUUACUGGAAAGUGAAUUUAGAAA